UCUAUGCCAGGUAUCACCAGAACUUCAACGAGGACAUUUCCAUGCUAGGUCAGGGGCCAACAUGAGUGACCUCCAUCUCCUGACCACCCACAUAGAGCAACAGAAACUUCAAAAAUCAUCUGCCCUCUCUGAGGUAUCCAAGUUGUAUAUAUAUUUGUUCCUUUUUCAAUUUUAUGGAUAAGGCAAGUAAUAGUCUUUGUGCUUUGUCAGAAAAGUUGAUGAAGUUUACCUCUUCCGAAGCUGGAGAGAAUAGCAAACAAAUUACGCUGUCACUCUCCCUGGAGUACAUCGAGUGCUGUCACACCGAGCAAACAUUUCUUCUCUUGGGGACACGGCACUUGAUGACUUGUGCAGGCGGAAGGAGCCAGAGGAAAGAAUAACAUGCUGCUACACAUGUCUGCUCACAGAACCCAGGACCGCGUCACUUGUCAAGACAGGGCAGAAGGACAGAACCAGCCGGCUGGAAGCCAAAC